AUGAAAAUUCUUUAUAAUUUUGUGCUUUAUUCAUUACUGUUUGUUUUCACGAAGGGCGAAUUAGAUAUACAGCUGUUUCAAAUUUUAGUUGAUAAGGAUAUUGAAUAUUUAAACAUUUAUAAAAAUAAAAUAAAAGAAAAUUAUAUGCAAAAUAAUGAAAAUAAUUUAGUGUAUGAACAUAUACAUAAGAAUAUUUAUUUAAAAGAUAAUCAUGUUCAAAUUGUAAUAACAGCAUGUUUAAAAAGUUUGAAUAUUGGACAAUUUAUUAAUACAUUUACUUUUUUGUUACCUUACCACGAAGCCUUUCAGGCCACCAACCUUCACGUAAAAGAUGACAAUAACGGACACGAGCUGAAUUACAAAAUUUUAACAAAAACAACAGAUAUAGAUAAAUUAAAUAUAAACAAUUUCAAUUAUGAAUUUAAUUUAUUACAAUUUCAACCUAAAAUAUACGAAAUAAAACUAAAUAAGAAGUUAUCUUAUUUAGAUAAAACGAAUUUAACGUUUACUUAUAUGUUAGGACAACCUUAUUUUGCAUUCCCAAAUAAUAUUGAUUUUUCAGAAAGACAACGUGUUUUAUAUUAUUGUAGUAGUAAUAUUUUAGUACCAUAUAAAAUCGAAAAAGAUGCAGAAGUAAUUGUAAAUUUAGAUUUUUUAUGUAAAGAAUGUGCUAUAGUAAACAUAACUAGCUCAAGUUAUUUUUUUUUAAACGGCUUUAAAAAAAUAAAUAAUAAAACUUAUGUCAGUAUAAAAAAAGAAAAUAUGAACCAAACAUUUUCUUUAGGUAAAAAAAGUUUAUUUUAUUUUAUUUUAGAUCACAAUUUAGGUUUUUUUGAAAAUGUUACAAAAAAUAUUAAAAUAUCCCAAUUAGGUUAUAUAUAUGAAAAAGAAGAAUAUUAUUUAAAAAAUAAUGCAGCAAAAAUAAAUAAAUUUGAUAGAUAUCUUUUAAGUAAUUAUGAACAUGAUCAUACAUUAAUGGAAUAUGUACCAAAUUCAUCUAUGUCUAAUGUUAUAUAUUCUAUGAAAUCUGAAAUAAAAUAUAAUAUAUAUGAUUAUAACUAUUUUGAUAAUUUAGGUAAAAUUUAUUUAAUAAAAGCAAAAGAAUUUUACAAUAAUGAAGAAAAUUCUUUUUUUUUAAUUUUUGAUUUAAAACCUAGAUAUCCAUUGUUAGGUGGAUGGAAAACACAUUUUUAUAAUUUUUUUUAUCAUAAUUCAAAUAUAUAUAAACAUAAAAAUCAAAAAAAUUAUUAUUCUUAUCAAAUUGAUUUAUUACCUUCUAUUAAAUCUUUUUAUAUAAAAAAAUUAACUAUAAAUAUUUAUUUACCUCCUUAUACUACAAAAUUUUCAAUUAAUUCCCCACCACAAAAUAGCCAUAUAAAUAUUCAAACAACAACAAAAAAAGAUUGGUUAGAUUAUUUCUCUUUUAGAAAUGUAAUUCAAAUAAAAAUUUAUAAUUUAUUUCCUCAAUUUGAGGAAGAUUACUAUAAAAAUAUGUUCGUUUCGUAUGAAAUAAAUUUUUAUAGUAUUAUUUGGAAGCCGAUCUUGCUCAUACUAUUUUUUUUUAUACUUACGCUUUUAAUUUGUUUUAUCAAAAAGUUGUCUUUCAAGUACGUCAAAAAAAAAAAAAAAAAAAAAAAGCCAUUUACACAUACAUACAUCCAUAAAUGCAUAAAUGUGUAAGAAGAAAAUAAUAAAAGAAGGUGCUAUCGUGUAAAUAAUAAAUAU
rnacentral:lncRNA from 1 species